UUGCAAAGCACUCUGAAAAGAGGGUGAAAAGAACCUGAAACCGUUAUGUUGGAAGCGUAUUGCAGCAGAGUGAAGGGGGGCAUCUUGUUCAGCUUGCGCUUGCGUAGGUGUACUCGAGAUGUUUUCCGCCAGUCGUGAGCUUUCGGUGGCUGAUUUAUCAGUUGCCGGGGGUGGAGGGCUCCCCUUUUAUGGGUGAGGACGAAUCUGGAUAAUGCUGUGAUUCGACCCGUCUUGAAACACGGACCAAGAAGUCUAGCGUGCCUGCGAGUCAAAGGGUGUCAAAACCUGAGGGCGCAGUGAAAGCAAUCUUAAAAACGUUGCAGUUUGAGGCGGCAUACGAUCGUUGAUCGUAGGUCCGACCUAGAGCAUGUAUGCUAGGACCCGAAAGAUGGUGAACUAUGCUUGAGUAGGGUGAAGCCAGGAGAAAUCCUGGUGGAAGCUCGUAGCGGUGCUGACGUGCAAAUCGCUCGUCUAACUUGAGUAUAGGGGCGAAAGACUAAUCGAACCAUCUGGUAGCUGGUUUUCUCCGAAGUUUCUCUCAGGAUAGCGGACCGAUAAGUGUUGUUGUGUGC
rnacentral:rRNA from 2 species